UGAGGAAUAUUGGUCAAUGGACGAGAGUCUGAACCAGCCAAGUAGCGUGAAGGAUGACUGCCCUAUGGGUUGUAAACUUCUUUUAUACGGGAAUAAAGUGAGGCACGUGUGCCUUUUUGUAUGUACCGUAUGAAUAAGGAUCGGCUAACUCCGUGCCAGCAGCCGCGGUAAUACGGAGGAUCCGAGCGUUAUCCGGAUUUAUUGGGUUUAAAGGGAGCGUAGGCGGACGCUUAAGUCAGUUGUGAAAGUUUGCGGCUCAACCGUAAAAUUGCAGUUGAUACUGGGUGUCUUGAGUACAGUAGAGGCAGGCGGAAUUCGUGGUGUAGCGGUGAAAUGCUUAGAUAUCACGAAGAACUCCGAUUGCGAAGGCAGCUUGCUGGACUGUAACUGACGCUGAUGCUCGAAAGUGUGGGUAUCAAACAGGAUUAGAUACCCUGGUAGUCCACACAGUAAACGAUGAAUACUCGCUGUUUGCGAUAUACAGUAAGCGGCCAAGCGAAAGCGUUAAGUAUUCCACCUGGGGAGUACGCCGGCAACGGUGAAACUCAAAGGAAUUGACGGGGGCCCGCCCAAGCGGAGGAACAUGUGGUUUAAUUCGAUGAUACGCGAGGAACCUUACCCGGGCUUGAAUUGCAACUGAAUGAUGUGGAGACAUGUCAGCCGCAAGGCAGUUGUGAAGGUGCUGCAUGGUUGUCGUCAGCUCGUGCCGUGAGGUGUCGGCUUAAGUGCCAUAACGAGCGCAACCCUUAUCGAUAGUUACCAUCAGGUUAUGCUGGGGACUCUGUCGAGACUGCCGUCGUAAGAUGUGAGGAAGGUGGGGAUGACGUCAAAUCAGCACGGCCCUUACGUCCGGGGCUACACACGUGUUACAAUGGGGGGUACAGAAGGCAGCUACACGGCGACGUGAUGCUAAUCCCUAAAGCCUCUCUCAGUUCGGAUUGGAGUCUGCAACCCGACUCCAUGAAGCUGGAUUCGCUAGUAAUCGCGCAUCAGCCACGGCGCGGUGAAUACGUUCCC
rnacentral:rRNA from 1 species